rnacentral:rRNA from 1 species
UACGUAGGUGGCAAGCGUUGUCCGGAUUUACUGGGUGUAAAGGGCGUGUAGCCGGGCUGACAAGUCAGAUGUGAAAUCCGGGGGCUCAACCCCUGAACUGCAUUUGAAACUGUUGGUCUUGAGUAUCGGAGAGGCAGGCGGAAUUCCUAGUGUAGCGGUGAAAUGCGUAGAUAUUAGGAGGAACACCAGUGGCGAAGGCGGCCUGCUAGACGACAACUGACGGUGAGGCGCGAAAGCGUGGGGAGCAAACAGG